AGGAUGAACGCUGGCGGUAUGCUUAACACAUGCAAGUCGAACGGAACCUUCGGGUUUAGUGGCGGACGGGUGAGUAACGCGUGAGAAUCUGCCUCUAGGUCGGGGACAACAAUUGGAAACGAUUGCUAAUACCCGAUGUGCAGCAAUGUGAAAGAUUUAUUGCCUAGAGAUGAGCUCGCGUCUGAUUAGCUAGUAGGUGUGGUAAUGGCGCACCUAGGCGACGAUCAGUAACUGGUCUGAGAGGAUGACCAGUCACACUGGGACUGAGACACGGCCCAGACUCCUACGGGAGGCAGCAGUGGGAAUUUCGCAAUGGGCGAAAGCCUGACGGAGCAAUACCGCGUGAGGGACGAAGGCUUUUGGUCGUAAACCUCUUUUCCCGUGAGAAGAAGAUCGUGACGGUACCGAAGGGAAUCAGCAUCGGACGUUAAACUUCGUGCCAGCAGCCGAC
rnacentral:rRNA from 1 species